rnacentral:lncRNA from 1 species
CCCACAUCCCGGAUUUUUCCCCCUCCCGAUCCCGUUUUUCCCGUUGGGAUCCCGUUUUUCCCGGCAGGCACUGUAACAUGGUGCUGGAGAACGUCAAGGAGAUGUGGACCGAGGUGCCCAAGAGCGGCAAAGGGAAGAAGAAAUCCAAACCCGUCAACAAGGACCGGUACAUCUCCAAGAUGUUCCUGCGCGGAGACUCCGUCAUCGUGGUGCUCCGUAACCCCCUGAUCGCGGGGAAAUAACGGGGAAUUCCCAGCUGGAAACAUCCUGGAACAUCCCAGAACCUUCUGGAACAUCCCAGAGCAUCCCAGAGCAUCCCAGAGCAUCCCAGACUCCGUCAUCGUGGUGCUGCGCAACCCCCUGAUCGCGGGGAAAUAACGGGGAAUUCCCGAUUGGAAACGUCCCAGAACCUUCUGGAACAUCCCAGAACCUCCCGGAACAUCCCAGAACAUUCUGGAACAUCCCAGAGCAUCCCAGAGCAUCCCAGGCUCCGUCAUCGUGGUGCUCCAUAACCCCCUGAUCGCGGGGAAAUAACGGGGAAUUCCCAGCUGGAAUCAUCCCAGAACCUUCCAGAACCUUCCAGAGCAUCCCAGAGCAUCCCAGGCUCCAUCAUCAUUGGGAAUUCCCUGCUGGAAUCAGCCCUGGAACCUCCCAGAACCUUCUGGAACCUUCCAGAACCUUCCGGAACCUUCCAGAACCUUCUGGAACCUCCCCAGAGCGGCUCCGUCAUCGCUGGGGAGCUUGGGAUUCCUUGGGAAUCAUCCGUGGAACCUCCCAGAACCUCCCAGAACCUUCCAGAACCUCCCGGAACCUCCCAGAAGUUUCCAGAACCUUCCGGAACCUUCCAGCCCCCUCCGGCUCAUCCCACAUUUCCCCUCCCCCCUCGUUCCUGGCUGGAUUUUCGGGAAGGAGCCGAAUUUUGGGAUGGAACAGGAAUUUUGGGAUGGAGCAGGGAUUUUGGGCUGGGAUUUUUGGGAUGGAGCUGGGAUUUUUUGGGAUGGAUGGAACAGGAAUUUCGGGAUGCAGCAGGAAUUUUUGGGCUGGGAUUUUUGGGAUGGAACAGGAAUUUUUGGGAUGGAGCUGGGAUUUUUUGGGAUGGAAUUUUUGGGCUGGGAUUUUUGGGCUGGAACAGGAAUUUUUUGGGAUGGAC